rnacentral:rRNA from 1 species
CUGACAGAUACUGACGCUGAGAUGCGAAGCGUGGGGAGCAAACAGGAUUAGAUACCUGGUAGUCCACGCUGUAAACGAUGUCGAUUUGGAGUUUGUUGCCUAGAGUGAUGGGCUCCGAAGCUAACGCGAUAAAUCGACCGCUGGGGAGUACGGCCGCAAGGUUAAAACUCAAAUGAAUUGACGGGGGCCCGCACAAGCGGUGGAGCAUGUGGUUUAAUUCGAUGCAACGCGAAGAACCUUACCUGGUCUUGACAUCCAUAGAAUUCUGCAGAGAUGUGGGAGUGCCUUCGGGAACUAUGAGACAGGUGCUGCAUGGCUGUCGUCAGCUCGUGUUGUGAAAUGUUGGGUUAAGUCCCGCAACGAGCGCAACCCUUAUUCUUUGUUGCCAGCGAUUUGGUCGGGAACUCAAAGGAGACUGCCGUUGAUAAAGCGGAGGAAGGUGGGGACGACGUCAAGUCAUCAUGGCCCUUACGACCAGGGCUACACACGUGCUACAAUGGCGUAUACAAAGGGAAGCGAAGGUGCGAGCUGGAGCGGAUCUCAUAAAGUACGUCUAAGUUCGGAUUGGAGUCUGCAACUCGACUCCAUGAAGUCGGAAUCGCUAGUAAUCGUAGAUCAGAAUGCUACGGUGAAUACGUUCCCGGGCCUUGUACACACCGCCCGUCACACCAUGGGAGUGGGUUGCACCAGAAGUAGAUAGCUUAACCGCGAGGGGGGCGUUUACCACGGUGUGAUUCAUGACUGGGGUGAAGUCGUAACAAGGUAACCA